GUCUAUGACCAACACACCCUGAAAACGCCUCAUCUCAGAAGCCAUCUGGGGCUGGGCCUGGUUAGUAACUGGAUGGGAGACCACCUGGGAAUACCAGGUGUCAUAGGCU
rnacentral:rRNA from 1 species